UACGAGAGGCCGAAACGUUAUUCGGAUUUACUGGGCUUAAAGAGUUCGUAGGCGGUCCAUCAAGUGGGGUGUGAAAUCCCUCGGCUCAACCGAGGAAUUGCGCUCCAAACUGUUGGGCUCGAGGGAGAUAGAGGUGAGCGGAACUGAUGGUGGAGCGGUGAAAUGCGUUGAUAUCAUCAGGAACACCAGAGGCGAAGGCGGCUCACUGGGUCUCUUCUGACGCUGAGGAGCGAAAGCGUGGGGAGCGAACAGG
rnacentral:rRNA from 1 species